UUGAUGACACCAGUGAGAAAAGUUGUGCCAAGUUAUUUCUUUGUUUAGUCUAUGCAGCUCUUGGGAUACCAGCUUUAGUUAUCUAAUGUUAGGUCGAGAGUAAAUAAAUGAAGCAAACCAAUUUAAGAGGAAACAGAGUAAUUAAAAUGUAGGGCGUAUGGAUUGGAUACAUGCCCAAUUUGGGCCCCCGUAUUUGAAAAAAGGCGCUUUGUAACCUUUAUUGACUUCUGGCUCUGCAUUAACGUCGCAGAAAUUAUCAUGGCUCACCUGUCGGUCGUCUGAAGUUGCUGCUGGACAUGAACAAGGAUGAAAUAACCACGUGCUGCAGUGGCGUCUCUCUUCGGCGUGCAGUUCUUCACUCAGAUGUGAUGUGAGCAGCUGUCUUCAUACUGGACUACAAGGUGCAGCACCUCCACCAGAAGGCCCUCAUAUCCUGCCACAAGGACACCGUUUGUCUGCCCCUCAUGAAAUGUCCUGGAGUAUCACAGCCUCACCUGUCACCGAUCAGUUUGUCAAAGAGGUUUUUUCCUCAUGAGUCCUGCCAAAGAUGCCACACGCCCAGUUUCCUGUUCGUCCAGCAGUCUUUACCGAGAAAACCCACACGGCCACAGGGCGUCUCCAUGAAUCAACAACCGUACCGUCAAAGCUUCCAUCACACUGGCUCAGGUUGAAUCAUCUCGGGUUAUAAAAGCAGAGAAGUGGACAAGUGUUGCAGAUUAGUACUGAGAAACUGUAUUCAAAAAUAAACUUUGAAAAACACCUCAGUGACAUUUUCCACACCCCAGGAAACGUCCUCCUGCUGCGAUGAAGCCUUUUUUCUUUGUUUUUUAUCUUUCAGCUUCUGUGUUGGAGCUCGCCAUAUUUUGCUUGUAAAUAUAAAAUUGCUGUAAUUUAUUUUUCAUUUAAUAAAAAGCCCGAAGAGUGCCUUCAAAAACA